rnacentral:lncRNA from 1 species
CCGGGGCUUCUGGCCCUUUUCCAGGAGGGACUUGAGGUACGCAGCCAAAAGACAGGGACGUCAGCAUGGUGGGGCCCGCGGCAGCGCCAGGCUGCCCAGGCCCACCCCCACCACCCAGGGCCUCACCUCUUGGGCCUGCAAGAUGUUGACAUAUCACAGCUGGCAGAUGAGCACACGGUGGGAAAGUGUGGUGGGCUUUUGCAGGUGUGGGCGCAGGGUCUUUGGGGGGUGUGCACCCAUCAUCUCCCAAGUCCAAGGGUGGAGCUGUGUAGCAAAUGCCCCCAGCCUUCUCUGAAGACAGCAGCUGACAUCGUCAGGGCUGCUGCAGCUUCCCCACUCAGUUAGAGGCAGAGAGGACAUAGCCCAGGGCAAGCAGCAGUGCCAGGGAGGGCCAACUCAGAACAGAGAGGCCUCAAAGAAGGCCAGCAGCAGCCAAAACAGAAUCUGGUAGCUACUGAGGCUGAGCCUGGGGCCAUGGGUGUGGCCAGCUGCCUGCUUCUGCCCAUGAGGCUUAGCAGGUGCCUGCUGGCCACCGCAGGCUAGUGAAACGACAAGAGACAGAAGCUGCCAAGGAAGUCGUCCCAGGAACACAGAGUUGACCGCAAUCUGGCCUGCAAAGUGAUGCACAGACAGAGGCAGGAGGGCAUGGGGUGGUGGCACCACAGACCUCAGGACAGCAGCACCCCACCCCCACAGGCCACCUUGGGCAGGAGCAUUGAGAACACUUUCUGAAGAGGCCAGGUUGUCCCUCCUGCCCAUUCUCUGUGGUUGAUGGCAGGCGACCACUGGAAGAGCACGCAGACCAAGAUGGCAAUCUUGUAGCUCCAGAUGGGCUGCAGCUCUGGGUGCCCCUGGUACUCAAAUGUCAAACCUUUGCAGCGCAUUGAUGAUCUAGAAACUCAGGCCACAGGGACAGGUCAGAAGACACAGCCCGGACACAACUCAGAGGAGCGGAGCUGCAUCUGCUCAUAGGGGAGGAAGGAGCUGGGGACAGUUAAGGGCCCAGCCUGCACCUCUGGGACAGGGGCUUCUCACCUGGUACCGACCCGGAAACAAGAGGAGAGAAACACAGGCAGCACUGCCCUCGGGGGAGUGCUGGCCCUGGCGGAAUGCAGCAGCCACAAAGGAUCCAGCCAGAGGAUGCCCCACCUGCCCAGCACUACCAGGCUGCCCAAGGGGUGCAAGCGUGGGAAGAGCCCAACACGGAGCAGCACCUCGGAUGGGGCAGAGACUUGUCACAUCACUGUCCCCAGCAAAGGCUACAUGUUGUCUCCUUCAGUUGAUGAUACACCUUUCCGAGAUGCAGAGCAUCCAGGUCAGACAAUCUCUACCAUUUUUUUAUUAUAUUAAGGCACUAACUUAGAAUGAGGUUUUUGUG